rnacentral:rRNA from 1 species
UUGGAGUCCGAACUCUCACUUUCUAACCCUGUGCACUUGUUUGGGAUAGUAACUCUCGCAAGAGAGCGAACUCCUAUUCACUUAUAAACACAAAGUCUAUGAAUGUAUUAAAUUUUAUAACAAAAUAAAACUUUCAACAACGGAUCUCUUGGCUCUCGCAUCGAUGAAGAACGCAGCGAAAUGCGAUAAGUAAUGUGAAUUGCAGAAUUCAGUGAAUCAUCGAAUCUUUGAACGCACCUUGCGCUCCAUGGUAUUCCGUGGAGCAUGCCUGUUUGAGUGUCAUGAAUACUUCAACCCUCCUCUUUCUUAAUGAUUGAAGAGGUGUUUGGUUUCUGAGCGCUGCUGGCCUUUACGGUCUAGCUCGUUCGUAAUGCAUUAGCAUCCGCAAUCGAACUUCGGAUUGACUUGGCGUAAUAGACUAUUCGCUGAGGAAUUCUAGUCUUCGGAUUAGAGCCGGGUUGGGUUAAAGGAAGCUUCUAAUCAGAAUGUCUACAUUUUAAGAUUAGAUCUCAAAUCAGGUAGGACUACCCGCUGAACUUAAGCAUAUCAAUAAGCGGAGGAAAAGAAACUAACAAGGAUUCCCCUAGUAGCGGCGAGCGAAGCGGGAAGAGCUCAAAUUUAUAAUCUGGCACCUUCGGUGUCCGAGUUGUAAUCUCUAGAAAUGUUUUCCGCGUUGGACCGCACACAAGUCUGUUGGAAUACAGCGGCAUAGUGGUGAGACCCCCGUAUAUGGUGCGGACGCCCAGCGC